rnacentral:rRNA from 1 species
CCUACGGGUGGCAGCAGUGGGGAAUAUUGCACAAUGGGGGGAACCCUGAUGCAGCGACGCCGCGUGAGUGAAGAAGUAUUUCGGUAUGUAAAGCUCUAUCAGCAGGGAAGAAAAUGACGGUACCUGACUAAGAAGCCCCGGCUAACUACGUGCCAGCAGCCGCGGUAAUACGUAGGGGGCAAGCGUUAUCCGGAUUUACUGGGUGUAAAGGGAGCGCAGACGGCUGUGCAAGUCUGGAGUGAAAGGCGGUGGCCCAACCCCCGGACUGCUCUGGAAACUGUAAAGCUGGAGUGCAGGAGAGGUAAGCGGAAUUCUUAGUGUAGCGGUGGAAUGCGUAGAUAUUAGGAGGAACACCAGUGGCGAAGGCGGCUUACUGGACUGCAACUGACGUUGAGGCUCGAAAGCGUGGGGAGCAAACAGGAUUAGAUACCCUUGUAGUC